AUUGAACGCUGGCGGAAGGCCGAACACAGGAAAGUCGAGCGGAUGAAGGGAGCUUGCGCCUGGAUUCAGCGGCGGACGGGUGAGUAAUGCCUAGGAAUCUGCUCGGUAGUGGGGGAUAACGUACGGAAAGGGGCGCUAAUACCGCAUACGUCAUGAGGGAGAAAGAGGGGGAUUUUGGGACCUCACGCUAUUAGAUGAGCCUAGGUCGGAUUAGCUAGUUGGUGGGGUAAAGGCCUACUAAGGCGAAGAUCCGGACGUGGUCUGAGAGGAUGAUAAGUCAAACUGGAACUGAGACACGGUCCAGACUCCUCCGGGAGGCAGCAGUGGGGAAUAUUGGACAAUGGGCGAAAGCCUGAUCCAGCCCUGCCGCGUGUGUGAAGAAGGUCUUCGGAUUGUAAACCCCUUUACGUUGGGAGGAAGUGCAGUACGUUCAUACCUUGCUGUUUUGACGUUACCAACAGAAUAAGCACCGGCUACCUUCGUG
rnacentral:rRNA from 1 species